AUCACUUUUCUAACAAGAGUUCAUGUUAGAAAACUGAUGUUUUCAUGUACUCUUGUUGAUUAAUUAUAACAGGAGUUCAUGUAAUCGCAUAGAAGAUCAGAGAAGUCAUCAAAAGGAUAAACUGGUGUUUGCAGCCAAUAUUAAUAGGGCAUCCAUGAAAGAUGACAGUCUCGCAUACACAAUUUAUCUCUUUUUUAUUUAUUGCUUUAUUUACAUCUCUCCUUUAUAUCUCAAGUUGUUUCUAUUUAACCCUUUUUCCUUUUACUUCACAUUGCUUAGAGCAAUAUACCCUUUAUCAGGGAUUGAAAUAUUGGAUGCCUACAUUUCUACAUUCCGAUUAGUUUGAAAGGGUGCUUGCUACCUUUUAUUCAAUUCUGCAUCUGGAAGAAUACUGAGUUGCGUUUUUGGUUCCUCGGAGUUGAGACUCUCUUAUUUAAGGUUUAAAUCAAUAGAAACACUGACUGCCCCUAUCAGACCUGGUCAUAACUCCUGUCCUGUGUUUACUUCCUGGUACCAGCUGCACAGCAGGCAUGUGAACUGCAGUGAUGUUGCAAGAUUGAAAUCAAAGCAUAAAGGGAUGACAAGCCACCGAGCAGUUUGCUCAUCGAUAACGAAGAUUCUUGCACUCCUGCUAGACGCCACCAAUUCUCUCCUGGCACCUUGAUGGGUUGAGAUAGCUGGAGACAUGAUGACUGCCCAGUCUUGCUACUUUCUAGCCUGCCACAACUUGUCAAAAUUAAGGAUUCAAUGUAACCAUCUCCCAUGCCUUACAUAGAUGCACCGUUAUACAUGAUGUAUAAAAGUGAAGAAGUGGACAUGUUAAAUCAUGACAGAAGGCUAUGGCUAUGAUUUUCUGUACUUUAUUGUAAAUCUCAACUUGGAUCAUGUAAUUAGCUUGUAGAUCAUUCACAUUU